GGUAGCGUGGCUGAGUGGUCCAAGGCGCUGGAUUUAGGCUCCAGUCCCUUCGGAGGCGUGGGUUCGAAUCUCACCAUUGCCA